CCUCUUUUUGCCACACGAGCGCUUAGGUGUCGUUUUUAUGUUGAAAAUGGUGAUACAAUCACCGUGUUUAAACACAGUAAUUAAAUUACUGUAUUUCUUUUUAUGUUUUUUCGUCCCUAAAUUAAAAAGGAAGGACUAAAAUGUGGAUAUGACAUGAUAAUUCAUUCACCAUGUUUAAAUACAGUAAUUUAUUCACUGUGUUCAACUUAAAAAUACAAACGUAACACUCAGGUGGCAAGAAGAGGGCCAUAUAUUCAAAUAUAAAUUUACUAGGAUUAUUUGUAUUGUUUUUUUUUUAGGGUAGCUAAAUUCAAAAUAUAACCCUAUAUUUUAUUGGGUUAAUUUUAUAUAGGUUCUGCAAACAUAGUGAAUGACGUAUCUUUACAAAAAUUCUAAUGUUUUCAAAUAUAUCUUUCUGGUUUGUUACCAUUAGAGAAUUUUUUAUAUUUUUAAUUUUGCUAUCACAAAUAUAUCUCUCUAAAAGUUAUAACUGUAUAAUACAAGAGAGGUAAAAAUGUCAAAAACUAAUCAGGUUAAAGUAUUUAACCUAUGGUUUCAAACGAAUUCUAACGGUAGGAAAAUAUUUGAAAAUAUCAGAAUUUUUAUAGAAAUAAUAUAUGAAAGUUAAACUUUAUAAAAAUUUAUUUGUUAUUUACUAUAUUUAUAGAUACGUGAAUAAAAUUAACUCUAUUUUAUAUACUAGUAUAAUUUU
rnacentral:lncRNA from 1 species